rnacentral:tRNA from 1 species
GGCAUUGUGGCUCAGUGGUAGAUCACCUCCCUAGUAUGUAUGAGGUACUGGGUUCAAUUCUCAGCACCA